rnacentral:misc_RNA from 1 species
AAGUCGUAACAAGGUUUCCGUAGGUGAACCUGCGGAAGGAUCAUUAAUGAAAUGCAAGGACGCUCUUUUUAGAGGUCCGACCCAAUUCAUUUUCUCACACUGUGCACACUACACUUUUUUACACCAUUUUUAACACUUAAAGUCUAAGAAUGCAAACUGUCUCUUAAUUGAGCAUAAAAUUGAAACAAAACUUUCAGCAACGGAUCUCUUGGCUCUCC